ensembl:snRNA U6 U6 spliceosomal RNA
GUACUCACUUCCGCAGUACAUAUAUAAAAAUCGGAAGUAUACAGAGAAGAGUAGCAUGACCCCUGUGCAAGGACAACAUAGGAAUUCAUGAAGCAUUAAAUAAAAUA